CCUACGGGAGGCAGCAGUGGGGAAUAUUGCACAAUGGGGGAAACCCUGAUGCAGCGACGCCGCGUGAGUGAAGAAGUAUUUCGGUAUGUAAAGCUCUAUCAGCAGGGAAGAAGAAAGACGGUACCUGACUAAGAAGCCCCGGCUAACUACGUGCCAGCAGCCGCGGGAAUACGUAGGGGGCAAGCGUUAUCCGGAUUUACUGGGUGUAAAGGGAGCGUAGACGGCUGUGCAAGUCUGAAGUGAAAGCCCAGGGCUCAACCCUGGGACUGCUUUGGAAACUGUGGAGCUAGAGUGCUGGAGAGGUAAGUGGAAUUCCUAGUGUAGCGGUGAAAUGCGUAGAUAUUAGGAGGAACACCAGUGGCGAAGGCGGCUUACUGGACAGUAACGGACGUUGAGGCUCGAAAGCGUGGGGAGCAAACAGGAUUAGAUACCCCGGUAGUC
rnacentral:rRNA from 1 species